UCAGCUAUAUACACACAUACACUGAAAACAUAAAAAAGAGGAAGAAACAAAAAAGGGAAGUGGGCAAAGAACGUAAAAGGGAAUGGGAUGAAAAAGAGAGAGAGAGAAAGAGUGGAGGAAGAAAAAUUUCCUCUUAAUACUCCUUUGCUUCUUCCCCUUUUCUUUACACAAAAAAUCAGUAAAUCCACCAUUAUUAAGACACCACCAAGCUCCACAAAAAAUUCAUAAAAGCCAACCAAAAUUUCACCUGCAAAACAACUCCAAAAAUACCCCAAACCUGGCUGAAUAUCAACCAGCGUCACCCAUCAACAACCAAACACCCCAUCCACAACCAAACACCCCAUCCUUUUCCUCUAGAUCUCAGCCUUCAAACACCAUAAAAACGUAGCAAAAGAUCCGUAAAAUUCAAUCCAAAAAUGCUGCAAAAGCUGCUGAAAAACAGCAUAAAAACUGCUGAAAAAAACAGCAUAAAAGACUGCUGUAAAACAACAACCCAAUAUAAUCCCAAUUAGUGGUGUCUGUGGAGGGUAGUAUGUACGCAGACCUUACCCUACCCUGUGGUAGAGAGGCUGUUUCCAAAUAGACCUCCGGCAUCCUUCCCUCCAAGAACUUCUCUCCUUGCGCUUGGGGAGAUUCGAACUCACAACCUCUCGAUUGGAAGUGGAGGAUGCUUACCAUCAGAGCAACUCAUCUUGCCCUUUGCUGAAAAACAACUAAUAAUAAUUUGACAUGUUUUACAAUUAAUCUUAGUUUGUCUUGUCCUUGAAUAAUAAUAAUUUGCUCAUAAUUGAAAUACUUUAUUGAUUUUUCUUUUGAUUUUUUUUCUUAGAAUAAUUUAUGAUCUAAAUCGAUGGAAUCAGUAAAAUUAUGCUUAAGUUGGACCUUGAUGCUAAUUUUUAGAGUUACAAGAUUUUUGUUUUGAGUUGAUUUGACCGGAUGAUUGGCGUAGGUGAAGUUAGCAGACUAUGGGCAGUAAUUUUGAUAUUAGAAAAUAAUGGACCAAGCUAGUUUGGGCCAAAAUGAUUCUGUCAAGCACAUUGGCAUCACAAGAUACAUCCCUUUCUACCCACAAUGUUAUAGCUAUAAUCAAGGGAAUGAUUCAUAAAGCACCAUCUUUUAGUUUUAAUUAAUUAUUUAUAGAUAUUUUUUAUUAUAUUAUAUGUUAUAGAU
rnacentral:lncRNA from 1 species